AUGAAGAAGAAGCACACCCCGGCGAGCUGCGUCGCGCUGCUCCUCGCGGCGCUCGUCCUGUCCGGCGACGUCGCCGGCGCCACCUCCUUCAACUACAAGGACGCGCUCACCAAGUCGAUCCUGUUCCUCGAGGCGCAGCGCUCCGGGAAGCUGCCGCCCGACAACCGCAUCAAGUGGCGCGGCGACUCCGGCAUGGAGGACGGCAAGCUCGCCCAUGUUGAUCUGACGGGCGGGUACUAUGACGCGGGCGACAACGUCAAGUACGGCCUCCCGCUGGCGUUUACGGUGACGACGCUGGCGUGGGCGGCGCUGGCGUUCAAGCCGGAGCUGCAGGCGGCGGGGGAGCUGAAGCACGUGCAGGAGGCCAUCCGGUGGGGCACCGACUACAUGCUCAAGUGCGCCGCCAAGAAGAACCACAUGUGGGUCCAGGUGGGCGACCCCAACCUGGACCACCAGUGCUGGGUCCGCCCUGAGAACAUGCCCACGCCCCGCACCCUCUACCAGAUCGACGGCAACACCCCCGGCACCGAGAUCGCCGCCGAGACCGCCGCCGCCCUCGCCGCCUCCGCCAUGGUCUUCCGCAACGACAAGAACUACGCCCGCCGCCUCAUGAACAAGGCCAAGCUGCUCUACCAGUUCGCCAAGACCCACCUCAAGACCUACGACGGCGAGUGCCCCUUCUACUGCUCCUACUCGGGCUACAACGACGAGCUGCUCUGGGCCGCCACCUGGCUCUUCAUGGCCACCAAGCGCCAGGUCUACGCCGACUUCAUCACCCACGAGGCCAUCUCCUCCAGCGUCGCCGAGUUCAGCUGGGACCUUAAGUACCCCGGCGCGCAGAUCCUCCUCGCCCCCCACAACAUGAACGCCAGCGGCGGCAUGCAGAGCUACAAGACGCAGGCCGACAACUUCGUCUGCGCCGUCCUCCCCGACACCCCCUUCCACCAGGUCUUCAUCACCCCCGGCGGCAUGAUCCACCUCCGCGACGGCGCCAACUCGCAGUACGUCACCGGAACCGCCUUCCUCUUCCUCGUCUACGCCGACUGGCUCGACACCGCCCGCCAGGACGUCAUGUGCGGCGCCACGCCCAUCAAGCCCGCUAGGCUCAGGGAGUUCGCCAAGCAGCAGAUGGACUACCUCCUGGGGGCCAACCCGAGGGGGAGGUCCUACGUCGUCGGCUUCGGGGCCAACCCGCCGACGCAGCCGCACCACCGCGGCGCGUCCACGCCGGUGCUCAAGCCCGGCACGGUGGUCAACUGCGGCAUGAGCUUCGGCGACUGGUUCGCGCCCGACCGGCCCAACCCCAACGAGCUCACGGGCGCCAUCAUGGGCGGGCCCGACGGCGCAGACAACUUCAUCGACAAGCGCAACGCGUCGGCGUGCACCGAGCCCUGCACCUACAUCAACUCCCUCGCCAUCGGCGCGCUCGCCGCGCUCGCCGGUCGCGGGCCCAACCUCGUCGCCUCCCAGUCCCAGUCCCACGGAUACGAUCAGAUGUAG
rnacentral:rRNA from 1 species